rnacentral:rRNA from 1 species
UACAGGGGGUGCAAACGUUGCUCGGAAUUAUUGGGCGUAAAGCGCGCGUAGGCGGCUACCUAAGUCGGAUGUGAAAGCCCCUGGCUUAACCGGGGAAGUGCACCCGAGACUGGGUAGCUAGAGUGCAAAAGAGGGUCGCGGAAUUCCCAGUGUAGAGGUGAAAUUCGUAGAUAUUGGGAGGAACACCGGUGGCGAAGGCGGCGACCUGGGUUGACACUGACGCUGAGGCGCGAAAGCGUGGGGAGCAAACAGG